rnacentral:tRNA from 1 species
UUUUUUGAAGUGUUUCACAUUAUCUUUUCAAGAUAAAAAUAAGCUUUUUUUUAAGCUUCAAAUU